CCUUUUUUAGGGUCACUAUCGAUUUGGUUGAAAUGGUGUUCGCUAAAGGUGACCCCGGAAUCGCUGCACUAAAUGACAAACUACUUGUGUCUGAAGAUUUAUGGUCAUUUGGAGAAAUGUUGAGAGCAAAUUACGAAGAAACCAAAGCUCAUCUCCUCAAGGUACAUCUUUUUCACAAUACUCAACAAACCAGGUUGUACUGCAUCUGACAUGACACUGUACACUAUCGUUGUCACCGAGACAAAAGUUGCAAGUUUCUAUCCAACCUAAAAAGGUGCGACGGAAACAGAAACGUAUUGUACCGUGUCUGUCUUAUCUGACGUGACAGACAUAGUACAAUUUGCUUUUUGUCUGAUGUGACAUAGCACAACCUAUUUUGUCCUGUACUAACCGUCUGAUCUCUUGUAUGUGGAAAAGACGUAAAUGCCUUUUUCUGAUUUUGGAAUUUUUCUUUUUGUGUUUUGUAGAUUGCGGGACAUAAGGAUCUUCUUGAGGGUGACCCCUACUUGAAACAAAGACUUCGUCUGCGUGACUCGUACAUCACAACCCUAAACGUGUGUCAAGCAUACACACUAAAAAGAAUCCGUGACCCUAACUAUCAUGUCACAUUAAGACCUCAUAUCUCAAAGGAGUAUUCAGAGCCAAGUAAACCAGCUGAUGAACUUAUCCAUCUGAACCCAACAAGUGAGUAUGCACCGGGUCUUGAGGACACUUUGAUCUUGACCAUGAAGGGUAUUG
rnacentral:lncRNA from 1 species